rnacentral:misc_RNA from 1 species
CUGAGUGUAAAAACUCCCAAACCACUGUGAACAUACCAUGUUGCUUCGGCGGUUCCCGUCCUGUCCUGCCUCACCGCGAGCCAGGCCGGGCCGCCGCCGGAGGACCCAAACUCUUGUCUUUAUAGUGACUUUCUGAGUGGCAUAAGCAAAAUAAAUCA